GAUUUCAACUAAAAAGUCAUCAACAAAAAAAAAGUUGUUAUAACUCAUCAAGAUCUAUAACUUUUAUUUUUGACAUUUCUUAAUCCGACAAAGUGUUAGUAACAUUGUUCACAAAACUCACAUAUCUCUCAUCUGGUUUCAUAAACUAUAACGCAGAUAUGUAACAUUGUUCACAAAAUUUACAUAUCUGCGUUAUAGUUUAUGAAACCAGAUGAGAGAUAUGUGAGUUUUGUGAACAAUGUUACUAUCAUUUUGUCGGAUGAAGAAAUGACCAAAAUAAAAGUUAUAGAUCUUGAUGAGUUAUACAACUUUGUUGUUGAUGACUUUUUCAGUUNAAAUC
rnacentral:pre_miRNA from 1 species